GCUUUUGUAUUAUAAGUUUUUGCUCAUGCGCCAUGGUGUCUGAGCAUGCAGCAUGCUUGUCUGUCAUAUCUCAUGGUUUUCUGAGCAGGACCCUCAUUGCCUACUAUU
rnacentral:pre_miRNA from 12 species